GACGAACGCUGGCGGCGUGCUUAACACAUGCCAGUCGAACGGAAAGGCCCUGCUUGCAGGGUACUCGAGUGGCGAACGGGUGAGUAACACGUGGGUGAUCUGCCCUGCACUUCGGGAUAAGCUUGGGAAACUGGGUCUAAUACCGGAUAGGAGCCAUCUUUAGUGUGGUGGUUGAAAAGUUUUUUCGGUGUAGGAUGAGCUCGCGGCCUAUCAGCUUGUUGGUGGGGUAAUGGCCUACCAAGGCGGCGACGGGUAGCCGGCCUGAGAGGGUGUACGGCCACAUUGGGACUGAGAUACGGCCCAGACUCCUACGGGAGGCAGCAGUGGGGAAUAUUGCACAAUGGGCGCAAGCCUGAUGCAGCGACGCCGCGUGGGGGAUGAAGGCCUUCGGGUUGUAAACUCCUUUCGCUAGGGACGAAGCUUUGUUGUGACGGUACCUAGAUAAGAAGCACCGGCUAACUACGUG
rnacentral:rRNA from 1 species